UACGGCCAUAUCACGUUGAAACACCGGUAUCUCGUGCGAUAACGUAAGUUAAGCAACGUCGAACCUAGUUAGUACCUAGAUGAGAGACCGCAUGGGAAUACCAG